UGGGGAAUAUUGCACAAUGGGCGCAAGCCUGAUGCAGCGACGCCGCGUGCGGGAUGGAGGCCUUCGGGUUGUAAACCGCUUUUGUUCAAGGGCAAGGCACGGUCUUUGGCCGUGUUGAGUGGAUUGUUCGAAUAAGCACCGGCUAACUACGUGCCAGCAGCCGCGGUAAUACGUAGGGUGCAAGCGUUAUCCGGAUUUAUUGGGCGUAAAGGGCUCGUAGGCGGUUCGUCGCGUCCGGUGUGAAAGUCCAUCGCUUAACGGUGGAUCCGCGCCGGGUACGGGCGGGCUUGAGUGCGGUAGGGGAGACUGGAAUUCCCGGUGUAACGGUGGAAUGUGUAGAUAUCGGGAAGAACACCAAUGGCGAAGGCAGGUCUCUGGGCCGUUACUGACGCUGAGGAGCGAAAGCGUGGGGAGCGAACA
rnacentral:rRNA from 1 species